UCCUGCUACCCUGUAAAGAGGUGCCUUCCACCAUGAUUGUGAGUUUCCCGAGGCCUCCCCAGCCAUGUGGAACUCUAUGAUUUUCACUGCAAUGUUGAAUAGAAGUGGCAAGAAAGGACAUCCUUGUCGUGUUCCUGAUGUCAGGAGAAACGCACUCAGUUUCUUACCAGCAAUGGGACAUGGAACAGGAGAAGGAACAGCAGGAAAGAACCUGGGAGCAGUUCUACAGAGCAGGAGGAGGCUUCCAUUGCAACUUCUACAGAAAGUUCAGGAAAAUAACGACUUUCAACAUUAUAGAAUUUCAACUUAGAAGUGAUCAUUUUCAACUGAUGAAUCUCAUUGAGGAAGACGAGACAUCAAGAGGUAGAAGACUAACUCAGCAAGUGGUACA